CUUAACACUAUUUCUAUGUAAUUAUACAAGACUUUCUUAUUUACAUUUUAGCAAUUGCUGCAACUAAAGUAGAUGAUGUUCGAGAAGUCUUAGACUAUUAUAAAAAUUUUGAUGAUCCUCUUGAGGCAUUUAAAGACAACCAAAGAAAAUUACAAGUUAGUAUUACUUAUUGCAUAUAUCAAGAAAAGGUACAGCAGAGAUUAAAAAAAAAUCCAUCUGUAUUUUGAAAGUUGGUUUUCUUAUUACCGGUAUAGAUUAUGCUUGAUUAUACUUACAGCAAUUCUGUCCACACCAUAGGAUUGAAAACAUUUUUAUCCUCUAAUAAAUUGAUUGGACAUUGACCUGAAAUAUAACUGAUUAAACUAUAUCAAACAAUUAUUAACAAUAGAAACUUAUUAAAUCUUUCAGAAGUAACAAGGGUAGAUAUACAAUCUCAUCUGUAAUAGGAUACUUUAUAGGUAUUUUAAAAGUGCCUUCUUUGGGUACCAUAAUGCUUUAAUGGAACAGCCAUGAUGAGCAGAUGUAAAUAUAAGAUGGGCUAAACCCUGGUUCCUCAACAGUCACUGAAAGAGUUUAAUAAAAAAUGAUCUUAGCUGGUUAAAACUCUUAUACAAGAGAUUAUUAAUUUACCUACUGAAUUAAGGUUAUUGUUAGAGAUGAUAGCAGAUCUUGGAUAAAAAUAUUUCUUUCUCAACACCAUUUCUUAAUUUUUAUUUCAGGAAGAACAAGAAAGGCAGUCAAAGAUAAUGCAGGAAAGAGAAAAGAAAAAGCCAACCAAUUUUGGACUAAAUUUUCUUGGCAGAAGAUAAUUAACUUUGUAAAUAGUUAGCUUUAUUGAAUCAAUUGUACUUGAUGUCGUAUGUGACUUACAAUAAGUUGAAAAAAUGACUAUUUCUUAGAAAAAGUAUGUUGUGAUGUUUUUUUUUUAAUUCACUUGUGUAAACUUUGUUUUAUGAUUCAGAAUUCCGUCUUUUCUCUUUGUAAAUGAGCUGGCUACAUCCCAAUUUCAAUAGUAUUGUCAACUUAUCGCCAAUGAAGCUUUAAUACAGGUCUAAAAAAUCUCUGUAUAUGUUUUGUGGCUGUGUCAUACUUGUUAAUGUGAUAUCACAAGUCAAACAAAGAUGAAAUCAAUGAUUAUUUAUAUAAGAAGUCUAUAUAGAUAUGAUGCCAAGCUAAUGACAUAAAUAUAGAUUAUUACAUUGAUACAAGUGGAUUAUCGGAUUUAUCCAAUCGAGAUAGUUAAAUUAUCAAUUUUAAAGUCCGAGCUCGGUAAUCCGAUAACUCCACGAGUUUACUAUGUAAUAAUGUGUUUCUUAAUGAUUAAAAGAAAAUUUUUCCUUUUUCUAAAAGAAAAUCCC
rnacentral:lncRNA from 1 species